rnacentral:rRNA from 1 species
GACUCUCGGCAACGGAUAUCUCAGCUCUCGCAUCGAUGAAGAAUGUAGCAAAAUGCGAUACUUGGUGUGAAUCGAAACAAGAGACGUUUCGAUCGAGAUUUGAAGGAGAACACAAAGCUGGAGGAAAGGGCGAGUAGGAGAAAGCAAAGGAGUUUAGACGAGUCUUA